rnacentral:rRNA from 1 species
GACGAACGCUGGCGGCGUGCCUAAUACAUGCAAGUCGAACGCAGUGGGGACGGGUGAGUAACACGUGGGUAACCUCACCUCAGAGGGGAGAACCCUUGGAAACAGGUGCUAAACCGACAAUGAUGGAUGGACCCGCGGUGCAUUAGCCAGUUGGUGAGGUAACGGCUCACCAAGGCCACGAUGCAGUGCUGACCUGAGAGGGGGAUCGGCAACACUGGGACUGUGACACGGCCCUGACUCCUACGGGAGGCAGCAGUAGGGAAUCUUCGACAAUGGACGAAAGUCUGACCGAGCGACGCCGCGUGAAUGAGGAAGGUUUUCGGAUCGUAAAGCUCUGUUGUUAGAGAAGCGGUAUCUAACCAGAAAGCCACGGCUAACUACGUGCCAGCAGCCGCGGUAAUAC